rnacentral:rRNA from 1 species
UACAGAGGUCUCGAGCGUUAGGCGGAAUCACUGGGCUUAAAGCGUGUGUAGGCGGGUCGGUAAGUACCUUGUGAAAUCCCACAGCUUAACUGUGGAACUGCUUGGUAUACUGCCAGUCUUGAGCCACUUAGGGGCUACCGGAACAAAUGGUGGAGCGGUGAAAUGCGUAGAUAUCAUUUGGAACGCCAAUGGUGAAAACAGGUAGCUGGGAGUGUGCUGACGCUGAGACACGAAAGCCAGGGGAGCAAACGGG